UGAUUAUUAUUAUCUUUCACAACAUUAUAAUCAUUUAGAGUUCACAUAACGACAAUCCUUCCUUAUCUCCCCUUGGUCACCGGUGAGAGGGUUGGUCUCGGACAAGAGCCUGACACCGCGUGAGAAUUGUUCAUGGAAGUAACCAUUGUCCGCAGCCAUCUUGGCCACAAAAGGUGCCGUCCUCGGGUCGCUGGCUAGCUCAUCAUCGAUGACCAGGAGCCCUCUAUGAGCCAUGAUGUUCUUGUAAUACAUAUUGUCCACAACCAUGGGAGUCUCACGGUCAUUAAAUUUUUUGACAGAAAAUACACAAAUACAAGUAACAAAAAAUUUAACCAAACAAUAACAGGAUAAAAGAAAAAAAAGCAACACCGAACUACCAGUCGAAAAACUGAAGUCGAAGCUUAACCAAAACCGAGCAUUUCCAAAUGGUGAUGAUAUAUGUGAUGAAACAUGAGACCACGUCUUGGUAAUUUUGGCUUCCUUGCAACGCUGCUCCAAUUGAUUGGUACUACCUCCAGAAAACUUUGCAAACUCAGUCGUCGGAAACCACAUCUCCCAACUACCACCGGCAGUAGGAAACACUGAUCUCUAAGAACCACACACCUCUCCAACAAGUAACUCCAAAAGCGCUAUCUGGAAAGACCCGCCUAGACUUCAAGUAGCCACACUUAUUUGGUUCGACCUCGGAAACUAACGCGAGCCACAACAAAAAACAGGUACGGUGAGAGCCACAUUUUGAUGUCGUUCUUCCAAACCUACAACACGGACCGAAGAUCAACCCACCGAUGCGAGAAAGGGAUCUAACAGUGGUGUUGGAAUGAUCAAUCUUCACACGAGCCUCCCACGAAGAACCGUCACUCCAAUGAUCAAAAGGAGCUCCGAGUAAACUGCCUCGCGCUAACACUGAGAACCGGAGCUAGCUCCACGGAGCUCACAAUGUAUGACUGGUUAGUUGCUAACGCUAAUAUUAUGAGUCACAGUACAAGCCCCUAUAGUUUUCUAAUUAUCUUUUUAAUUGUUUGAGUAAAUCAAGGUUUAGAAAUGCCUUUCUCUGAUAUACUUUAGUAGUAUAUAUUAACUCCCAUCCUCUACCUUUUUGGCCAAAAAGAUGCACCUAAUCCCUCGUAUAGAUUAACGCCUACACACAUUAAAAUAAAACUUUUAAAUCAGUCAAAUUAAAUUCAAGAAAUAGAUACUCAAAUCAUACAACAAAGCCAACUCCACGAUAAAUUAUCCAACGAAUGAAAAGAAGUCGACCGCAUAAUAUCAAACUGUUAAGUUAAGAUAGAGUAUCACUGACCCAACAAGCACAUAUAACAGCCACUGAAAAAAGGUUAGAAAAAAAAAGUUGAAUCGGACUCCUAAAAACCGAAAAAUAUAGAUUGGAAGAAAGAUAAAUAUCGAUUAACUCAUUUUUGUUUUUUUUUAUGAUUUAGUUUUUAAUCUGUGUAUACUUUGGUGAAGUAGUACACUAGUACUACAUAUGUUAAUAGGUUAGGUAUAGUAGUUUGGGACUCUAUCCACUACUGUGUUUCUCUUGUCGGGGAUCCUAUGAAUUCCCAGUUGCCACCGCAAUAGGUAACCGAGAGUUAAAUGCAACCAUUUUUUUCAAAAAAAAAGAGAGUUAAAUGCAACCAGCCUUUUUAUUAUACUCUAUGUCAUAGUGUAUGUAAUUUGAUUUAUGAGAUUGAUAUCCCCAAAUUUUGGUCGGUCCAUGAACUGUUAUUCCAUGUGCACAUGCUGUUUUAACGCUAUUGACCUUGACAGUCCAUAUCUUAGGCUAGAUAAUCUAAUGACCACAAUGUAUGGCGUUAUUAUAGAUAACCGAUGAUUAUGGUCUAUUAAGGCAUUUUCAUCCCUAUUCCAUUUUUUCUUUUAAAAUAGAAUAAAAGUGAAUAUAGACUAAGGAAUGCUCCAACCCAACUCUAUAUCUCACUCCAUAAUGAAAUUUACUCUAUAAAUGAAGUAAUCUAUUUUUUGUCUGUUCAUCACUCCAUUAUGGAGUAGGAAAUGAAGUAGGGUUAGGGUAAUUUUACUCAAUUUUUAUUUUUACUCUAUUUUGGAGAAAAAAAUGGAGUUUUACAUUCGAGAUACUCUUAAUUACAUUGCAACUAUAAUUGUGUCAGUUAAAAUAACUGACUUUGAAUAUAUUUCCUUUUAGCAAUCACCUUGUUUAAUAUCAGUAUUUUUUUAUGGAUUGCCAUCUCAAGUGUUACUCCGAUCAGACUUCUUAUGUCAAUAAAUGGAUCAAAUAAUAAAUAUUCUUUUACUAUAGAUGACUGAACUCAGUGAACUCGGGCGCGAAUAUGAUGAAGGGUUUUGUGAAAGAACUCUCCGUACAAAAAACAAGAAGACAAUUUUCAAGAACACACAAAUGGUUUGUAAGAACAAUUCAGUUUCUUAGUUUACACGUUAGAGGAUUCAGAAACACCUUCAUACUUAUUUUUGUAGUUUAAACACGUUCAAAAAGAGAAGUUUUCACUUUUGUAGGAUAUAUAAAUUUUGGUGGGAUCAUCAAAUAGGAUCAUCAAACAGGAUCGAACAAAAACUUAUCAACGUUCUUGUUUUGCUUGAGAAACAAAACUGUGACCACAGCUUAUAUUUUCAUAUCGGUUUCAAUCACAAUAGUAGUUCUUAAAUCUUAACUACAUUACAUCAAUUUUAAAUGGACUCUGCCUAUACAAACAAAAAACAUGCUAUUAUGAUUAAUAUCAUGCCACUUUAGCAACUAUUCUUUUUUUCUAUCAAACCUUAAUCUAAAUAAAGCUUAGCAGUUAGCCCCUAACCUUAAAAAAAAGUUGUUCACCAAAGUAGCCGCACUGGCUAAAGCACCCACACCAUCAAAAGCAAAAUGGGAAAAAUGGAAAAUAAACACAACCGAUAUAAACAUACAUAACACCAAAGCGACUUAAGAUAGAAACACAACAAGUGUAGAACAAUUCAGAUGAACUGAUGAAGCCAUAGAAAUCAGAGGACACAUUCGCUGAACUACUGCCAAACAUGUGCCGCAUCAACAAAUACAUUAAAAUCAAGAAAUUUAGCUACAGAGGUGGUCACGUACUAUUAGAUCGGUACGUAUGGCUAAAAAGUAAUGGUAUUUUUUCUACUUAUUUUGCAACCGAUAUUUUGUUAUUAUUAAUGAUCUGAUGCUACUAUUUUUCACUAAUCCAUAGUUACUACAUGACAACGUAAAACUCGGUUGCUAUUACACAACGUUAUCUAUAAUUUAUUUUUUAUAUGAAAAAUUUCCUAUGAUAGCAUUUUAAAAUUUUUAUCACAAAAAUUGAUUUCAAUGAAAAAUGAUUAAAAUAAGUUUUAUUAAAAAAUAAAAAAAUAUAUUUAUACCAUAGAGUUAACUAAUCUAGAUUUAUGGUUCAUAGUUAAGAAGUGAGGCUUUGAAGAUAGAGUUUCAAAUUUUAUAAAAUAAAAUUAAUAUUAAAAUUUUCAAAAUAAAAAAGCUAUUUUAAUCAUUUUCUUUAUUGAAAACUAUUUUUAUGACAAAAACUUAAAAAUAACUAUCUGAGAGAAUUGUUUUUUUUUUAUAUUCCUAAACAUUAAUUAAAAUUAGUUUUUUUCGCAUUUGUUUUUACAUUUGAGAGAUUUUUACUGAUAGAAAAAAAAAUCCAUAAUACUAUUUGUAUCGUUUAAAAUUAUAUUUGUUAAGUAUUAAAAACAUCUUUCCAUUUCAAAAAUAUUACUUUAACCUUUUGCCAUAGAUGAGGAAUAGUUAAACUUUAUUUAUUUUUAAUAACUACAUUUAUUUAACUAAUAAUCUUUAAAAUAAAUAAAUGAUUUAUAAAAUUAAAAUAUUUUCCAAUUAAUAAUAUUAAAAUAAAUAUAUCAUAGUUGUAUUGAAAAUUUUAAAAUGAUUUGUUUUAUAACAAAAAAAAUAUAUAUAUAAAACAAAAAAAAUAUAAAAAUUACAUUUUCUUUAAAAUAGCACUAUAUUUUUUUAAUAUAUAUAUAAAUUGCCUUAAGACGUUUGUUAACUUAAACAUGAUGCAGAUGGAGAUCAAGUUGGAGAAAUCCUAUAUUUUUUGCGGCGGAAAAACGCGAGGGAGACACAAGAACCAUCUUCACCAGAAGUGACUUGCAUCAUGGGUCAAGCGAGGAUAAACCGGUCAAAUAAACCCAAACCGGAAGCUAAUCGGUCGGCCAAAGAUGUAACGGAAAGCCACGAACGUCCGAGACGGUUUGCGUGGAACACCCCUUCUCCGGGAAACUCAAACCGAGUUGGUUCAGCCCCGUUUGGCGCAAAUGGAGAAAAUCAGAGAAGCGAUCAUCAAGCUGGCCGGAACUUCCUCCAGAGAUCAUGAGGGAAAUUCUGAUCAGGCUGCCGAUCAAAUCGAUCGGGAGAUCCAGGUGCGUCUCAAAGCUGUUCCGCUCCCUCUCAUCAGAUCCAGGCUUCGCAAAAAGCCAGCUCGAUCUGAUGACCGCUCACCGGAAACUCAUCGUGUCUUCACACAACGGUAACAUGUAUGCAUUAGACUUGAACGAAGUAACUCGAGAUUCGAUACCUGUGGACCUCAGUUAUCCGCUUAAAGACGAACUACCAUUUCGAAGAGACUGUGUUGAAAUCUACGGAUCAUCCAACGGUUUAGUGUGUGUAUGAAGACGUUGUUCUCUUGUAUAACCCAACCACCAGAGAAUCAAAGCUGUUACCUGCUGAGAGCACUGAGACUGUCAAAAGAUACAGAGAAAAGUUCAUAUCCUAUGGAUUUGGCUUCGAUCAUCUCACCAAUGAUUACAAAGUAGUGAAGCUUGUCGCUGAUUCUAACAAUCUUCUCUACGCUUGCGUCUACUCUUUGAAGUCAAGACUCGUGGAGAUGGAUCCGCGAUUUGAGCUACCAACACAUCGACCGCUUCUGUUUCAACUGCUUCCCUCCCGGUCUGAAUCUCAACGGUGUGAUCCACUGGGUGUUCACUCUUCAACAAGGCAGUCGCAAGCGGAAAGUGAUAUUAGCAUUUGAUAUUAUAACGGAAGAGUUUGGAGAGAUGCCAUAUCCUACCGAAGCUAGGAGUUGUCCAUAUCGUUUCAUGGUAGGGAAUCUCAACGAGCGUCUUUGUUUGUUCACUAGUUGCUACGAGUUACAUGAUGAUAUUUGGGUGAUGAAUGAGUUGGGUGUAUGGCGCAGAAUCCGGAUCAGCGUGUUCUACAGGUUUAUGAAACCGGUGUGUUCGACCAAGAACAGCGAGGAGGAGGUUCUGAUGGUGUUUGAUGGAGUCAUGGUGUUGUACAAUUUUGAGACCCAUGCAAGGAGGAGACUGGAAAUUCAAGGGGAAAACCUCUGUGAGGGGUUCGAUGUCAAUUCGUACGUAGAGAGCCUCAUAUCACCAAACUCGCAUGGUCUUGACAACUGAAGAAAGCACUUUGAUUUUAAGUUAUAGAUUAAUAAGACUGGGCACAGACAGUCUACUCGUCUCGUUAGUUUGUUUUAUAUUUGGAUCGACUGUAGGUCUGUAGCCCUUUUUCUCACACAUAUAUAUUGAUAUUAGUUUGACAAUUUUAGAUCUGGUCAAAAUAAAUAGGUAUAGAGACCUUGAUGCGCUGACGCAGAAUGCAGAAUUUUGUUCAGCAAAGUAUUUUAUCUCAUACAAACCUUGCAAAAAAAUAUUAUUAUUAUAUAUAUACGCAAUUUUUUAUAGAUAUCUAGAACCUCAUUGAUCAUAUGAAUCUAUGCCAACACCUUGCUCUAAUGUGAGAAAUACUCUCAAGGCAUUCACCAAUUCUAAGUGACCUUCUUUAUUGAGUACUGACAGAUUCAAGUUCGUGAAACAGUCAGUGGAGACUGUUUUUGACGACUCGCCCAAGAUAUUCGGAGUUUGUUCUAAUGAAAACAUGUUUAUCUUUGUUUUUGUCUCUUUUUCCAUAAAAUUCUGUUGUUGUCUUGAUUAGGCUCACGUUAGUCUCUUCUAGUGUUGUCAAAGAGAUGACAUAUACUCGUAGACAGUAUGUCAAUCCAUACUAACGUAUCUUCACACAAAAAUCCAGCAUCCCUUUGUAAAGAGAAAGUGAGAAACAAUUGUAAAUUCUUUUUUAUUUUUCCCACCAAAUUAGUAAGUUCCUCGCGGACCUUAGAUAGGCCGAGAUCUUAAUGGGCUUAAAAAUAUUUCUUAAAUCAUAAAAGAUAAUAAUACUCACGAAGGUGUGUCUUUUGACCAUUUCUAAUUCAAAUUACUUAACGCGUAGAACGGGACGCGUAAUAAGAGUCUAUUUUCUCUUCUUCUCUUUCAGAUCUUAAAGGUUUCUUGCUAAAUAUGGCGGGAGAAGACAACAACCGCGAAGCUCAACGAGGCGACGACCAUGAGGAAUCGAGUCCUCUCUUGCAAGUGAACGACACCAAGAUCAACUCGAAAGGGGACAAAAAGACGGCGCCGAUUGUGCAUCCUCCCGCGGUGGAGGAAUACGGCUGGACGGCGGAUGGAUUGCCGGUGACCGACGGCAGCGUGAUCGGCGAGCCGAUCGGGAGAAACCAGUGGAACUCCGGUCUGUUCUCCUGUUUCGGACGGAACGAUGAAUUCUGCAGCAGCGAUCUCGAAGUUUGUGAGUGUUUUCUUGUCUGCUUUCUAAAAUUAGGGUUUUUGAAAUUGGGGGAAUUUUGAAAUUGAUUGAAAUUGGAAGUGAUCUGAUUGUAAUUUGUUGAAAGAGUCCAUCUUUUGAAAUGGGUCGAUCGAAAUUGAUUGAAAUUGGAAAUGAUCUGAUUGUGAUUUGUUGAAAGAGUCAAUCUUUAGAUCGUUCAGCUUAAAUAUGGGUCUUGAAGGUUAAGCUUAAUAGGCAAUCGAGAGAAGAAACCUCAAGAUGCGAUGUUAUGUGGCUUUGAUGAAACUUUUAGUGAUGAUGAUGGUAAUGGCUUUCUUUUGUUAGGUCUUCUUGGAAGUGUGGCUCCAUGUGUGCUUUAUGGAACUAAUGCAGAGAGGCUUGGGUCUGCCCCAGGAACCUUUUCGAACCACUGCUUGACGUAUUCAGGGUUGUACUUUAUUGGGAACUCUUUGUUUGGGUGGAACUGCCUUGCUCCAUGGUUCUCUUAUUCCAGCCGUUCUGCCAUUCGCCGCAAGUUUAACCUUGAGGUAUUUUUUUCUCUGUUUUCUUUCAUUUGGAAACAGACAAGUGAAUUUGAGAGAAAAAAAAAGGUUGUCCUUUGAGAAGAGAUUGAUCAACUCACGUCUUUGUAUAUGUUCUUGAUUGCUUGGAUGAUGACGAGUAGGGACCUAGCCCCAAGAGAUUCUAGUUUGUGUACCAUCGUCGCCUGGUUUCGUCAGAGUCCCUCUAGUGGCUCUAGUUACAAAGGGCUGUCUAUUAGCCUUCUAGUGGCUCUAGUUACAAAGGGCUGUCUAUUAGCCUUUAGGAUAGUCUCAUUUUGCACCUUUUUUGUUUUGUCUUCCCAUUAUCGUUUCUUCUAAUGAGAAAUUGCAUCUCCUGAACCUAUCUUUUGUUUUCUUUUUUUGGGUAAAAAACAGGGAAGCUUUGAGGCAAUGAACAGGUCGUGUGGCUGCUGCGGAAGCUGCAUAGAGGACGAGAUGCAAAGGGAGCAUAUGGAGACGACUUGUGACUUUGUGACACACGUCCUUUGCCAUACAUGUGCCCUUUGCCAAGAAGGCCGUGAGCUCCGCAGGAAGGUUCUUCACCCUGGUUUCAACGCUCAGUCUACCGUGGUGGUGCUCCCACCAAGUGAACAAACCAUGGGCCGUAAGUGAGUCCAGUGGUCUGAAUAGCACUUGUUACAUAUAUAAACAAGUGUCUUUGUGUGGAACACGAACUAUCAUGUUGUCUCUUGCUUACUUUUUUGAAUAAACUCCUUCUACGUCUGUAAUUUGUCGCGUGUAAAGAUCUUUUCUUCUACGCACUCAAACAUAUGUAUACCUUUAUUGUUAAUGGUAUGUAAUAUUCAUUUGUUUCACAACUCGUAAGGUGUUAACAUAGGGGUAACCGGAUUGGUUUAACGUAACCGAGUUUCGAGCAAAGCUUUUCAAUCGAGGAAACACAUUUUACUCUAUUAAUAAAGUUGGGAUUAUAAAAGGAAACACAUUUUACUCUAUUAAUAAAGUUGGGAUUAUAAAAUUUUAAAAUUUAGAGUUAUUAAUUUGCAAAAAAGUCAUUUUUUACAUUUCUCUACUUUUAGAGUAUAUUUUUUUUAUAAAAUAAGAAAAUAGUUAACUUUGUCUUAGAUAUAUUAAUUUAUAUUUAAAAAUUCGGUGUUUAUAUUUCGGUUUUUGGUUCUACUAUAUGGUGUAUACGAUAUAUGUUUCAUAGAAUUUAAAUGUAAUUUUAGAUAUAAUUUUACUAAAUAUUAUUAAAAAUAUAUUGAAGUGUAGAAAUAUAUAUGGUUUCAUUGUGAAUUUAAAACAAAUCUAUAUUGUUAUUUGUAAAAUAACUUUUCGCAACUCGAAUUCUCACGUUAAAAAUUAGAGCAAUUAAUAUCAUUUAUACUCUUAAUGAAUAAAAUAUAUAUUAGCUUAAAAAAUAAAAUGAAUUUAAAAUUUAUUUGAUUAGAUAAGUGGUUUAAAUUAUUAAUAAUAAAAAAUUAUCCAAAAUAUAAUAUAUUUUAAAAUAAAAAGAUAAUUCAUAUAUAUAUAUAUAUAUUGUGUAGUUAUCCGCAAAAUAUUUUUGAUAAAAAAAAUUCUUAAAAAAACUAAAAAACCGGAAACAGAUAACUAAAUAUUAAUCAAGCACAAAUUUUAUUUUUAUAUAAUUGAAAAUAGAAUAUUGAGUGAUUUCUAAUAUUUAUUAAUAAUAAAUAAAUGCAUAACGAAAUUUUCAAAAAAAUUAUAGUAUGUAAGAAUUUUCAAAUGAAAAUAUAAAUAAUAAUUUAUCCUUGUAAUCUUUUAAUUAGUAAUGUAUGUAUUAAUAAGUAAUUAUUACAUGCUCAUGUUUGCAUGCAAAGGGGAAACAUCUAGUGAUACAACGCUUUGUUUGUACUUAUAUAAACCUCAUAUACAUAUUAUUAAUUUAUGAUUUUAGCUAGACUAUAUAUAAAUAUGAUUUUCUAAAAAAUGAUUAUCUUAUUAUUUUAUUGAUUUGUAUCAUACUUUUAACUAGCACAACUCAAAACUGAAGAAAUUUAUUAAUUUAUUGUGUUUAUUAAUUAAUUUAGUAUUAAUUUUUAGAGCUUCUAUUGAAUGGACAAACAAAAUGUAGAGUAUCUCCUGGGGAUUUUAACCCGUUUAUACAAAUGUUUUGAAAACCAUACCAGACAUUGACUUGGUAUGGUGACUGAGUCAAUGGUUGGACCGGUCUAACCGGUUCAAUCGGGUUUUAUUUUAUUUAAUUUAAAAUAUAAAUUUAAAGUUAUAUAAUUAAUUUAUAUACUUUUAACUUGUACUAUAAUUGUGAAAAUAAUAUAAAAUAUUGUAAACUAAUAUAAUUAGAUAAUAUAAUAAGUUAAUUGUAUACCGGUUUAUUGUAAAUUGUAUAAUUGUUUUUUAUUUUUACUUCAGUUUUUUUAAACCGGAUUUUGAUAUUGAACUGGUUUACCGGUUUUAUCGAUUUUUGCCGGUUUUAACUGGUUUUAGAGGUUUAAUUCAAAUCCGGUUUUUAUAGUAACCCGUAACUGGCAAUAUAAAUGAGUCACAGUUCAACCAAUUUGACCAGCUGGUCUGAUCCGGUUUUCAAAACACUAAUUUAUACCCAUUGCAAUUAACUCUACUGAGCCUACCCAAACCCUUAGGGGUCAUUUUAAAAAAUAUAGUGUGAUAUUACAUUGAGGAGAGGACAUUUUAAUAUAGGCCAAUUAGCGUGUUUAGUAGCAGGUUGAUCUAAUUGCAGAGAUUAUAGAUGUGACUUAGAUUUUAGAGUUGCUGAUUUUAUAAAUGAAAAUAUUUGUUAACUUUGCAUAGAAUUAUAUUAUAUUAAUAUAGAACUAGAUUCUAACCCGCCCUUGAAAGGGCGGGUAAAUUUCUGUUUUAUAUAUUUUUUAGAAAUUUAAUUUUCAUAUAUGUGUUUUUCUUUUGUAAUCAUAUUUGUGUAAAAUAUUUUUUAAAAAUUAUUAGUAAGAAAUUUUAAUAAUUGUAUUGAAUUGUGAUGUUGCGUAUCUAUACACUUAUGCCAUAGACGAUUUAGAUACAAGUAAUAUUUUCAUACCCGAUCUAGAUCCACAGUUGAACCGAUAAACCUUGUUGUAAAAUCCAAAGCGUUUUUGUUGAUUUUUAUGCUUAAAUCUUUCUGUUUUCAUUUUCUACAUGUUUAUUUAUUCAUAUUGAUUAACACAUAAAUUUGAAGGAAGAUUUCUUACUCCUUAGUGAUGAACAUAAAGUCUAAGUCACACUCUUCUUAAUUCGUAUGGAGUCAUUCGGAUUUUCAGAGUAAGCUAUAUUCGUGAAUCUGUUUUGAUAUAGAUUGAUGUGGUUGAUUAUUUUGACUCAUCAACCAAGUUGUGGGUUUAUGUUUUUAGGUUUCAUUAGAAACUCUAAUUCUUCACAAACAUGUACUUGAAAAUUACGGUGGGCCUCUUUUCUCCUUUUUUGUUCAUUCGCUGAGUAACUUUUUACAGUGUUACGAUGAUAAUUUAUUAACCAGUAGAUGAAGCUUAACUGGGUUUUCAUUAGAAACCCUGAUUCUUGAUAAACAUGUGAUGGAAUUUAUAUUUGUGUAAAAAUUUUGUCAAAAAAUCGAAUUGGUUAUGGCAGAAAAGGUGAAAUGGUUUGUAUCGUAACCGUUUUCUUUAAAGAGAAAUAUAAUGUGGUUAAUGUUUAAAUAUAAUUAGACAUAGUUAUAUAAAAUCAGUUUUAAAAAAAAAAUUGGACCAAACAUUUAUCAAUUGGGCAUGUUGCUAAUUUAAUAGUAUUGAUUUCGUUAGUAUUGAUUUCGUUAAGUUUGUAGAGAAUUUGUAUAUUUAGAAACUCCAUCAAAUUUAUAUUAUAAUAUCACUACCGUUUGGUUCUCACGUCACGUAGCAAGGUACUUCAUAGCAAAAGUUUCCACUAGAGGUUCAUCAUAGCAAUUAUCCUACAAUUUUAUUCUUCGAGAUUCAGUCAUAUUCUUUAAUCAUAUAUGCAUUAUCUCGUAUUAAUUGCAUUAGAUCCCUUGUAAUAAUAGUUGGAUUAAGUAGUGAUUAAUUUGACCCUGUGAGUUUACUUUACAAGUGAUAUGACUUCUUUAACUUGGUUUUUAUACAUGAGUUCACGAUAAGAGGUCAAGAUCUAUACCUUUCUACUACCAUUAAUGAUAUUUGGCAUUUCUUAUACAAAUAAUUAAACAAGUCUACAGUUUAUCCUUGCUCUAGUUUGUCCUUGCUCGCUUCGGUCUUUAGUCUGGACCGUUUCGGUGGGACCAGGAUACUCGGUUAUAAAAAAAAAAUCUAUAGUUUGACCCCAAAAAAAACUAAACAAGUCUAUUAAUUAGACAGCAAAUGAGACUACCCAAAUUAUUUGCCGAUAAUUUAAUAGAAACUAAGAAUACAAAUUCUUAUAAUAAUGUAAAUGAUUGUAAAGAGAGAUGUGACACAUGGAGAAAUACCCAACUGGUUUGGCUUCUCACAACUAAACAAACACGAUGAUGAUGAUUUGGCUUGUGGCGUCAACAAGUUGAUAAAUAAUAGUUAACUAGGAUAAGACCUGCGUCUUGCGCAGGGUGAGUUUAUUUGUAUAUAUUAUCGAUAGUUUUUUUAUAGAUUUGAUCAUUUUAUUGGUAUAUAUAAAAUAUUUUUUGUUUUUUGUUGUUAUUAUAUAAUUUCUUUCCGAUAGAUCGGAUCAAUUUUUAUUAAAAAGAACGGAACAAAACUAUAAUUAAUACAUCAUGGGUUGAUCGGAUUAGACAUUAAACAAAUUAUGACAUAAAAACCUUAUUUUUUCCAUCGAACACAUUCUUGAAAAAAGUGAACAAUAUUGUUUUCACAGUUAAAUUAUUUUGACUUUUAUCUUCCAUAUGGUUUUGAAAGUUUUCAAAUCAACCAUCGAAUUAAUACAUGUCAUUUUAAUAUUUUUAGUCGUAUACUUAAGGAAAACUUACAUUUUUGUAAUUUAAAGUCGUUUUAAAAAAUUCAAAAUAUAACAUAUAAGAAAAAAUAUAACAUAUAAGGUGUCCUCAUUUUUGUAUUUUAAAGUCGUUUUAAGAAAAAAAUAUAACAUAUAAGGUUUCCUCAUUUUUGUAAUUUAAAGUCAUUUUAAAAAAUUCAAAAUAUAAAAUAUAAGAAAAAAUCUAUUUUUUUUAAUUAUAUGGUUAAUGUGAUUGUUUGUUUUUUUAAUAAUAUAAAAUUAAACAAAAUGAAGAAGGAUGCAAAAAUUGUUAUCAAAUCUUUAUUAUUCAUAAUCAUUAAUUGUCAUAUAUAUGUAAAUCAUAUUAGGUAAUUUCGUAGCUUUUAUUUAGAGAAAGAAUACACACUUUUUAUAUUUUAGGUUAAUAUAAUGUUCUAUAGUGGACAUUAAACAAAUUAUGACAUAAAAACCUUAUUUUUCUCUCGAACACAUUCUUGAAAAAGUGAACAUUAUUGUUUUCACAGUUGAAUUAUUUUGACUUUUAUCUUACAUAUGGUUUUGAAAGCUUUCAAAUCAACCAUCGAACUGAUACAUGUCAUUUUAAUGUUUUUAUUCAUAUACUUAAGGAAAACUUGCAUUUUUAUAAUUUAAAGUCGUUUUAAAAAAUUCAAAAUAUAACAUAUAAGAAAAAAUAUAACAUAUAAGAAAAAUAUAACAUAUAAUGUGUCCUCAUUUUUGUAUUUUAAAGUCGUUUAAAAAAUAUAUAUAACAUAUAAAGUUUCCUCAUUUUUGUAAUUUAAAAUUAUUUUAAAAAAUUCAAAAUAUAACAUAUAAGAAAACAUAUAUUUUUAUAUUAUAUGGUUAAUGUGAUUGUUUAUUUUUUUAAAAAAAAAUAUAAAAUUAAACAAAAAUGAAGAAGGAUGCAAAAAUUGUUAUCAAAUCUUUAUUAUUCAUAAUCAUUAAUUGUCAUAUAUAUGUAAAUCAUAUUAGGUAAUUCUGUAGCUUUUAUUUAAGGAAAGAAUACACACUUCUUAUAUUUUAGGUUAAUAUAAUGUUCUCUAGUGGACAUUAAACAAAUUAUGACAUAAAAACCUUAUUUUUUUCAUCGAACACAUUCUUGAAAAAAGUGAACAGUAUUGUUUUCACAGUUGAAUUAUUUUGACUUUUAUCUUCCAUAUGGUUUUGAAAGCUUUCAAAUCAACCAUCGAAUUGAUACAUGUCAUUUUAAUGUUUUUAGUCGUUUACUUAAGGAAAACUUACAUUUUUGUAAUUUAAAGUCGUUUUAAAAAAAUUCAAAAUAUAACAUAUAAGAAAAUUCUAACAUAUAAGAAAAAUAUAACAUAUAAGGUGUCCUCAUUUUUGUAUUUUAAAGUCGUUUAAAAAAAAAAUAUAACAUAUAAGGUUUCCUCAUUUUUGUAAUUUAAAGUCAUUUUAAAAAAUUCAAAAUAUAACAUAUAAGAAAAAAUCUAAUUUUUUUUUUAUAUGGUUAAUGUGAUUGUUUAAUUUUUUUAAUAAUAUAAAUUUAAACAAAAAUGAAGAAGGAUGCAAAAAUUGUUAUCAAAUCUUUAUUAUUCAUAAUCAUUAAUUGCCAUAUAUAUGUAAAUCAUAUUAGGUAAUUUCGUAGCUUUUAUUUAGGGAAAGAAUACACACUUCUUAUAUUUUAGGUUAAUAUAAUGUUCUCUAGUGGACAUUAAACAAAUUAUGACAUAAAAACCUUAUUUUUUCCCUCGAACACAUUCUUGAAAAAGUGAACAGUAUUGUUUUCACAGUUGAAUUAUUUUGAUUUUUAACUUACAUAUGGUUUUGAAAGCUUUCAAAUCAACCAUCGAACUGAUACAUGUCAUUUUAAUGUUUUUAGUCGUAUACUUAAGGAAAACUUACAUUUUUGUAAUUUAAAGUCGUUUUAAAAAAUUCAAAAUAUAACAUAUAAGAAAAAAUCUAAUUUUUUUAUUAUAUGGUUAAUGUGAUUGUUUAAGUUUUUUUAAUAAUAUUAAUUUAAACAAAAAUGAAGAAAGAUGCAAAAAUUGUUAUCAAAUCUUUAUUAUUCAUAAUCAUUAAUUGCCAUAUAUAUAUCAUAUUAGGUAAUUCCGUAGCUUUUAUUUAAGGAAAUAAUAUACACUUCCUAUAUUUUAGGUUAAUAUAAUGUUCUCUAGUGUUAUAUAAUUAUGGAAUAAUGUGACACCGUUAGAUUAAACUAUACUUUAUAUUAGAUGUUAUAGAAUUCUUUGAAAUAGAAUUUAGAAGGUUUAGAGUGCCACCUAGGAUUUGGGUUUUUUUUUAAUUAAUACAAAAUGAAGGUUCUAAUUUUUCAAAUGAUUCUCAAUUAAUAUAUAGGGGAUUAUUUUCCCCAAGUUGACCACUAUUUUUUUGUAAGAUACUUUGUUUAAAUGGUAGACAUUGUAGUUAGAAAAUCUCAAAAUUGUUAAAUUUCAAAAACUGGAAAUCAGAACCAAUUGAUAAAUUAGUAAUUAGAAAUUAAUAAAUUGAGCUAUGUUUUUAAUCUUUGAUAUAUUAUUCUAGAUCUCGUCGUAUGUUUGAUGUUAGACUUUUAACAUGUUUUGUAAAAAUGGUCAUUAGUUCUGUUUAGUCUCCAAUUUGAUAGCAUUGUAUGAUUUGAUAACAUAUCUUACUUAGAUGUCAAUUACUGGAAGAUGAUAUCAUGUUAAGUUCUAAGAACUUUACCAUAUAUAUCAAUAAAUCAUCAUACUUUCGACGUUGAGUUCUUAACAAAUUUUGUAUCUACGUACCUAUCAUAAUGAUGUAAAUUAAUGAUCUAGUUUUAGAUGAUUUUAAAUCACUCCCGAAUACAAACAAAUGAUUAAAAAUGAUUUUUAAAAACUCAUCUAACACACAAAUGAUUGGAAAAAAAAACUCAUCGGACCUUUAGACGACUUUAUUAUAUCUCAAUCCAUAACGAUUUGAUAUUUCUUCUUAUUGAUUUCAAACCAUUAACAUACAUAGUUACAUACAUACAUACAUUCAUACACACGCAUAUGAUUAUUAUUAUCUUUCACAACAUUAUAAUCAUUUAGAGUUCACAUAACGACAAUCCUUCCUUAUCUCCCCUUGGUCACCGGUGAGAGGGUUGGUCUCGGACAAGAGCCUGACACCGCGUGAGAAUUGUUCAUGGAAGUAACCAUUGUCCGCAGCCAUCUUGGCCACAAAAGGUGCCGUCCUCGGGUCGCUGGCUAGCUCAUCAUCGAUGACCAGGAGCCCUCUAUGAGCCAUGAUGUUCUUGUAAUACAUAUUGUCCACAACCAUGGGAGUCUCACGGUCAUUACGGGAAUAUAAGACUGCGUUCGGGUCCGGGUUUGGACUUGGGCAACGAUUUUUCAAGUAAAGGGCGUAAUCUGGGUCUAGAGUCGGGUCAAUCGUUGGGUAUAGCCGGUGCACUAGAUUAACGCAAUGGACCCUACCAACGGAGUGAGCACCUACGAUAAUAUAAGUUGACUGAUGAGUAAUAGUGACAGUCAUUUUUUGUAAAACUCAUUUCUUUUCUAAAAUCGUGAAAAAAACAAAAACCAAAAUAUUAAUCCUGGUAGUGUUAGUUACCAUGCCCUGAAAAGUUUGUGUUGUUUUAUUCACAUAGCAAUAGCUUGACAUUUUACAAAGAUUAUAUUCUAAUCAGAUAAUGACUUAAACUAAUUACAUCAUUAUCUCAUUCUAAAUAGUAGUUCUCCAAAUCUAUUGGUCUGUGCAGCUAAAAGAUGGUUACUACUCAGAUUUGCUAUAAGGAAUUAAAAGUUGUUACCUAAUAGAGCAACGGUGGCUUCAACAUCGAUGCCCAUGGAGUUAAAGUUUGAGAGAACGGAGGAGAGGGAGUCAUUGUGGUUAGGAACUAGAGUCUCAACAUCACUCAAGUAGCUUCCUCUACUGUCUCUCCUUCCUGUCUUGAUCAUAUCUAUCUUUGGCCCUUUCAACUAUUCAUUUCAACAAAAAAAAAACAGCACCACAAUUAUAAAAACAAUUCCAAACUAAUUUAACCUUAAAAUGCAUAUAGGUAAUAUAUCUAUAAUUACCAUGACAAUACCAUCUCUAGCAGAGAGAGCAACAAUAUCAGCGCAAGAGACUGUGGAAGGACAUUCUUUCUCAAGUGCGUCUUUGAUAACCUUAACGUACUUAAAGUUUCUCAUACCAAAACUCCUCGUUGACUUUUGCUCAGACUCCACACCUCUCGCUGUCUCUAGUAGCAGUGACGCAUCACACGACUACAAAGAGAAGACAUGAACAUAAAUAAAUCGUGUUUUGAUAUUAUAUUAUGAGUAGAUAAAACAGUUAACUACCUUGACGACGCAGUCAUGGAAGAGAUUACGGAGCCAAGAUACGGCUGUGUUACCGUGUUUGUAGUAAAGCGUCUCCACUUGUUGUCUGAUUAUCUCUUCCGCUCUAGGACAACUCUCUCUGUAAUAAUUCAUCUCCAGUUCCGCAUUCCCUACAAUUUUAUCAAAAAUCUAUAAAUGAUUCGUUUUCUCUACAUGCGUGUUAGCGAUUCUAUCAUUAUAAAAAGAAAAUAUUUGUUGAGUUUUUACGGUGGAAAUUAAAUGACUAAAAAAAUGUGAUAUUUGAGAGGCUUUUUUUUGAACCACAGAGAGGCAUAAUGUAAUUAGAGCAAUGAGGAAUAUUAUUACCGAUAUGGAAGAUGGAAAAUAACUGUAAUAACAGACAAAAGAAGGCCAAAAGACAGAAGGGCAUCUUCGCAUUCGCCAUCUCUCUCUCUCUCUUUUCUUUUUCUACUUUGUUGAUUGGUGUGUCUCUUUAUGUGUACCAAAGUAGGGUUAUAUAGAGAGAGUUCAAGGGACUUGAGUGUAUCUGUGACAAAAAAAAGGGACUUGAGUGUAUUAUAUAAUUAUCUUUAUUUAUUAGCCAUAGUGGUUGCCCAUAUUAAUUAUUCACUUUUUGUAAUCAUCGGUUGUUUCUUAAUUAUAAAUUAUAAACACAUAUUAAUACUGAAAUUUAUAACCACUAGCUACGUGAACUCAAUAGUUGUUGAACAUGUGAAUUCAGUGAGACUUGAUUUCCUUUUUCUUUUCUUUUUUUGUCACAAUGAGACUUGAUUUCCUAUUUUAUCCUAUAAUCAUACAAAACUAAUUAGUUUGGCUUUUCACUUUUGUUCUAUUAUAAUACAAAACUGUCCUUUUCCUCUACUUAAUUUUUUCAACCUUCAUUUAUUAAUUAGCCAUCCCCAUACAACUCCAUGCUCCACAAGCAAAGCAGAUAGAAAAGGAGGAGAUAUAAUAUGAAUUACGUACUAACUAAUUGAUUGAAUCGGAUUGAAAAAAAUAGAAUAUUUACAUUAUUUUUAAAUGCUUGCGAUGAAUAUGAAUAUUGCACAUCAACGUCUAGAAUAUGACCAACUCUAUUAACUUACAACCCAGGCUUACAACCAUGCUAAUCCCUAGGUAUAUACUAUAUGCUAUAUAUAGCCUAUUAUAUUAAAUUCGAAAGUUCAUUCACUAAUAAAAAGUUCUUGUUACCCUUCACUGCAUAAAGCUUGUACGACCAUUUUUUAUAGAUUCUCACAGCUUACUGACAUUUUACCUUCCAUGUGAAAUAUAUUACCUAGUUGGAUUCAUAGUUCUCUUUAGAAACUUAUUGCUUCGUUUCUGCAGUUGUAACAAAAGUAGAACGAGAGAAAUGGACUAGCUAGUCACAAGUAUGUAUAUGCAUGGCCCAUUAAUGUACUGCAUCAUGGCAAAAUUAUUGGAUACAUAUUAUAUAAAAAUCUCUAAAGAUAGCCACUCUCCAGUUCCGCAUUCCCUACAAUUUUAUCAAAAAUCUAUAAAUGAUUCGUUUUCUCUACAUGCGUGUUAGCGAUUCUAUCAUUAUAAAAAGAAAAUAUUUGUUGAGUUUUUACGGUGGAAAUUAAAUGACUAAAAAAAUGUGAUAUUUGAGAGGCUUUUUUUUGAACCACAGAGAGGCAUAAUGUAAUUAGAGCAAUGAGGAAUAUUAUUACCGAUAUGGAAGAUGGAAAAUAACUGUAAUAACAGACAAAAGAAGGCCAAAAGACAGAAGGGCAUCUUCGCAUUCGCCAUCUCUCUCUCUCUCUUUUCUUUUUCUACUUUGUUGAUUGGUGUGUCUCUUUAUGUGUACCAAAGUAGGGUUAUAUAGAGAGAGUUCAAGGGACUUGAGUGUAUCUGUGACAAAAAAAAGGGACUUGAGUGUAUUAUAUAAUUAUCUUUAUUUAUUAGCCAUAGUGGUUGCCCAUAUUAAUUAUUCACUUUUUGUAAUCAUCGGUUGUUUCUUAAUUAUAAAUUAUAAACACAUAUUAAUACUGAAAUUUAUAACCACUAGCUACGUGAACUCAAUAGUUGUUGAACAUGUGAAUUCAGUGAGACUUGAUUUCCUUUUUCUUUUCUUUUUUUGUCACAAUGAGACUUGAUUUCCUAUUUUAUCCUAUAAUCAUACAAAACUAAUUAGUUUGGCUUUUCACUUUUGUUCUAUUAUAAUACAAAACUGUCCUUUUCCUCUACUUAAUUUUUUCAACCUUCAUUUAUUAAUUAGCCAUCCCCAUACAACUCCAUGCUCCACAAGCAAAGCAGAUAGAAAAGGAGGAGAUAUAAUAUGAAUUACGUACUAACUAAUUGAUUGAAUCGGAUUGAAAAAAAAAAUAGAAUAUUUACAUUAUUUUUUAAUGCUUGCGAUGAAUAUGAAUAUUGCACAUCACCGUCUAGAAUAUGACCAACUCUAUUAACUUACAACCAUGCUAAUCCCUAGGUGUAUACUAUAUGCUAUAUAUAGCCUAUUAUGUUAAAUUCGAAAGUUCAUUCACUAAUAAAAAAUUCUUGUUACCCUUCACUGCAAAAGCUUGUACGACCAUUUUUAUAGAUCCUCACAGCUUACUGACAUUUUACCUUCCAUGCGAAAUGUCAUUACCUAGUUGGAUUCAUAGUUCUCUUUAGAAACUUAUUGCUUCGUUUCUGCAGUUGUAACAAAAGUAGAACGAGAGAAAUGGACUAGCUAGUCACAAGUAUGUAUAUGCAUGGCCCAUUAAUGUACUGCAUCAUGGCAAAAUUAUUGGAUACAUAUUAUAUAAAAAUCUCUAAAGAUAGCCACAAAUAUAAAAUUUUAAUUAUCUGUAACCAUUAAUUAACCAAAAUAUAAUUCAGAUAAAGUUAUAGACUCUACAGUAUAGUCUUAUAAUAUAUAUAUAGCAAUAAUUGAAUAUAUUGUUGGAAAAUGGGGUUGAGGAUUAGAUAUUCGAUAGAGACAUUUGUGUGAUGUUAGCAUUUUUUUUUCUCAAAUCGGUAAUGCAUGCAUACUUUUAAAAGAGUAGUUACUCUUCAAAUCUCGAGUUGGAUAUGGUCUCCAACUCGAUCGGUAAGCUUUUUAUGAGUCGGGCUGCAGCAUGAUUGUCAUUCCAUGGUCAAACUCGAACAUUAUGAGAAGUCUUCUCAAAUAUGAAAGAUGUUUUAGUAGAUGCUCAACGAUCACAUGAACAAGAACUUACUAAAUCACUUGGAACUUUGGAAGAGUUUGAUUAUGAUUGAUGUCAUGAUAUUUAAGUUAUCUUUUAUAGAGAUACAUACAUCAUACAUACAAUAUGAUUAGUAUUCAAAAAAAUAAUAAAUGAUUAGUAUUCCGGUCUUUGGUCCAAGUGAUCUAUCUAUACGAGUUUUGAGCAUGUGUAGCCGUAAGCCGUUUUACGUCAUUUCGGACCGGAGCCUUGUUAACGUUUAUAAUUGUUAGAAUCGAAUCAUAAAAAUCUAUACAGUAAUACUGUAGAAUAAAACAUAUAAAGAAUUAAAUUAACAAAGAAAAUAUUAAUUAUACAACAAUAUUUUCUUUAAAAAUCUAAUCAAGUUUUAUCAUUAAAAUUGAUAAAUAACUUUUAGAUAAAAUAUUUAAAUUAUUCAAUGUAUUUUAUGCCUAUAAUCAAGUAAGGUAAAAUUUAAUCAAAAUUUUAAAAAUAUAUUUUAAAAUUGCAUUCAACCUAUAAUCGCCAAUCAAUCUAAUUACUCUAUUUUCUUUAACAGUUAACGUUUGUCUACAUUUUUGUCACAUAGGCAAACUCAUGUUUUAUAGUUAUAUUAUGAUGUUAUAGUAAUAGAUGAUGCCUUUGAUUUUGAAUUUUUUUUUUGCUGCCAUAAGCGAAUGUUCUUUUUCUUUAAACUGAGGCUGCACUGUUUCGGACAUGUUCUUGAUGCAAAAUUAAUGCGUUUAUCGAUGUUAAAAUGGGAUAUUUUGACGUCACUGAAUGUUCUAUAUCAUCAUCAGCCGCUCAUCCGUCGACCACUUUAUCACUUAUGUAAUAACACACUCCACAAAACAUUUGGUGAAUUUGGUUUAUAUGCAUUUAUGGUGGCACUGAGAGUUGCUUUUUGCUGGACGUUUACGAGUCUAGACCUAUCUUAUUCAGCAACUUCAAAUCGGUUGCCACUAUUUCAACUUAGUAUUCAUAAGGAAAAAAAAAUUAUAAGGAAAGAUGUCUCAUUUUCUUAUUUUCUAGUUUGUCGUAUUAAGCUAAAAUUUUAAAUACAUUUCAUCACAAUAUGCAUGUAGUACGAAAUUUUUAUAAUGCAAUUUACUAAAACACUGCUUUUCCAGAGCAAUAUAAAAAAGCUCAUACGUAUUAUUUCAGAAAAUUUAUAAUUACAAGAAUUUUAGUUUUUUUGUUUGCUUAAAAAUCUUGCAUUAAUAAUACUUCUGUUUUAGAUUGGUAUUGUAAUUCGUUUUGCAAUGACAAACAAUUCAUUAGUUUUCUAAUGCAUUUUUAAAAGUAUACUCAUAGUUUACUUAACUUGAAAGCAUACAAUAUUUUUUUCGAAGAUUCCUUGGUGUAUUAUGAAUGAAUUAAUUGAGAGCCAUUAAGUUUGACAUUUUAGGCACUUGCGUAAUCGCAUGCGCAUUUGCAAACCACUAAUAAAAACCAAGGAUCCCACUUUCUUGACCGAUGGCGGCUGUUGUCCAAUCCAUUCACUUCCACGCAUAAUGCUUUGUUGCCGAUGCUUCACUUAUCUUCAACACUCAUUAUGUAUAUGAUCCCCCACCCCAGUUUUUCUCUACAUCUAAAAGUAUGUGUUUUUUUCUAGAUGCUUAUGAGAGUACUGAUCCUCUUUCACUAAUAACAAUGUAUUUACUUUCUAAGAUUCCGAGCGUUUUGUUUAGUUUAAUUUGUAAAUAUGUAAUAAAAUUAUAAAACUAAUGAUUUUUGUUUUUAAAUACGAAGUUUUGUUUAGAAAGAUUGAAAUGCGAUAUUCUUGCAAUGAAUCUUGAUCAUAUAUUUGGAAUAGUGAAAGCGGGCGUGGAAUAAAGGUUGAUGAAUGAAAAAAAAUAGAACACAAAUUGCUAACUGACAUGUUAAAUUCUACCUAAAAACAUUUCAAAAAAAAAAGAAAAUCUAUCUAAACAAGAAAGGUUAUAAUCAUUUCCCUAGGUUUCGACGUUAAGUCCAUUGUUGUUUCCGAUAUCAAAAUAUGGGAUCGGUCUUGAGACAUGAAAAAACUACGGUAUAAAAACUGAAUGAUCCAUACAUAUAUACUCCCUCUGUUCUCAAAUGUAAAAUGUUUUGGGUAGUACACACUUAUUAAAAAAAAUAUUUUUUAUUUAGAAAGUAUCAUUGAAAUUAUAAACUAAAAACUAAUCAACCAAAUACAAAAUAAAACUAUUAAAUUUGAUUGGCUACACAUAAAAAUUAUUCUAAACAUCUUACAUUUCAGAACAGAGGGAAUAUAUGUUUGGAUAAUUUGGAAAUUGAAUGAUCCGUGUAUAUAUAUAUAUAUUAUUAAUCUGGGUACUGUUUUGGACAUGAAAAAAGGGUCCAGACUAAUCUGUAAGAGCAUCUCCAAUGUACACCUCUAUAUUUUCUUCUAAAACAGAGAUCUCUAUUAUAGAUGUGAAAAUGCUCCAAUGUAUGUUCCUUAUCUCCCCUUGGUCACCGGUGAGAGGGUUGGUCUCGGACAAGAGCCUGACACCGCGUGAGAAUUGUUCAUGGAAGUAACCAUUGUCCGCAGCCAUCUUGGCCACAAAAGGUGCCGUCCUCGGGUCGCUGGCUAGCUCAUCAUCGAUGACAAGGAGCCCUUUAUGAGCCAUGAUGUUCUUGUAAUACAUAUUGUCCACAACCAUGGGAGUCUCACGGUCAUUACGGGAAUAUAAGACUGCGUUCGGAUCCGGGUUUGGACUUGGGCAACGAUUUUUCAAGUAAAGGGCGUAAUCUGGGUCUAGAGUCGGGUCAAUCGUUGGGUAUAGCCGGUGCACUAGAUUAACGCAAUGGACCCUACCAACGGAGUGAGCACCUACGAUAAUAUAAGUUGACUGAUGAGUAAUAGUGACAGUCAUUUUUUGUAAAACUCAUUUCUUUUCUAAAAUCGUGAAAAAAAACAAAAACCAAAAUAUUCAUCCUGGUAGUGUUAGUUACCAUGCCCUGAAAAGUUUGUGUUGUUUUAUUCACAUAGCAAUAGCUUAACAUUUU
rnacentral:lncRNA from 1 species